rnacentral:rRNA from 1 species
CCUACGGGAGGCAGCAGUGAGGAAUAUUGGUCAAUGGGCGCGAGCCUGAACCAGCCAAGUAGCGUGAAGGAUGACUGCCCUACGGGUUGUAAACUUCUUUUAUAAAGGAAUAAAGUGAGGCACGCGUGCCUUUUUGUGUGUACUUUACGAAUAAGUAUCGGCUAACUCCGUGCCAGCAGCCGCGGUAAUACGGAGGAUCCGAGGGUUAUCCGGAUUUAUUGGGUUUAAAGGGAGCGUAGAUGGGUUGUUAAGUCAGCGGUAAAAUUUAGGGGCUCAACCCGGGCCGGCCGUUGAAACUGGGGAGCUUGAGUGGGCGAGAAGUAUGCGGAAUGCGUGGUGUAGCGGUGAAAUGCAGAGAUAUCACGCAGAACUCCGAUUGCGAAGGCAGCAUACCGGCGCCCGACUGACGCUGAGGCACGAAAGCGUGGGGAUCGAACAGGAUUAGAUACCCGUGUAGUC